rnacentral:tRNA from 2 species
GCCCCCAUAGCUCAGUCGGUUAGAGCCGCGGACUCAUAAUCCGCUGGUCGCAGGUUCGAGCCCUGCUGGGGGCA